ACGUAGGCAGCGAGCGUUGUUCGGAGUUACUGGGCGUAAAGGGUGUGUAGGCGGUUGUUUAAGUUUGGUGUGAAAUCUCCCGGCUCAACUGGGAGGGUGCGCCGAAUACUGAAUGACUUGGAGUGCGGGAGAGGAAAGUGGAAUUCCUGGUGUAGCGGUGAAAUGCGUAGAUAUCAGGAGGAACACCGGUGGUGUAGACGGCUUUCUGGACCGUAACUGACGCUGAGACACGAAAGCGUGGGUAGCAAACAGGA
rnacentral:rRNA from 1 species